CCCGCGGGCCGCCAGUUGCCCAUCCCUGCACUAGCGCUAUCAUUUAUCUCCUGCUUCCACGAUGGGCUACAUUUGCAUUCUCUUCGUUCUUUCUUUGACAAUAUCAACCGUUGGGGGAAUAAAAUGCUACUCGUGUGUCGCCGAAGACCCCCUUUCCUGCCUUGAGACCACAGAAUGUCUCAUCCCCAUGUAUCGCUGUUACAGCCUGGAUCUGACUGGCCUUGGGGGAGGCGUGAUCAAGGGAUGUCAAUUCAGUGGUGUGUGUGCCCUGGGACAAGUCGGAGCUUGCUGCGAAGGCGAUUUGUGUAACCUUGGGAAUACCAGCAAUAGCAUCGGAUCAAGCUUCAUUCUCCUGCUGUUGUCUACUGCUGCACUGUAUUUCCUCUGAUCUCCUGAAAUCCUGUUCAUGGAGACUAUAUCCUGUUUGCGUUUAGAUUACAUUUAGGGCAUUUAGCAGACGCUUUAUCCAAAGCGACGUACAAUAAUUACAUUUGUCAUAAGAAAGAGGAACAUAACACUGUCGGUAUAGUAAGGAUGUUUCUACAUUUCCGAAGAAGAAUUUCUACGAAGUUCCUAAGAAUAUUCUUUACUGCAAUUCCUCAACAACUUCCUAAUAACGUGUUAAUUGUUCCAAUUUAGUUGUUUUUUUAAAGGGACACUGUCUAAAAAUUACUCCCAUCUAGUGGUACAAUUGUAUAUUGCAUUCAAACUAAUAGUGCUCGCUUGUUCAAAAACUACGGUGGGCAGUAUGUGCCAAGAAGCUGUGUCAUGACAUCCAGUACUACCUCAUCGAGUCAUUGGAGUGAUGAUGAGGUUCGUUAUUUCAAACAAAUAUCAAACUGCAUUGAAUCAUUAGUGUAAGCCAGUGAUUUUCAACCUUUUUUGAGCCGCGGCACACUUUUUACAUUUACAAAAUCCUUGGGCACACCAAAAUGACACAAAAUGACACUCUAACACAGUUCAUAUAAUACAUAUUGUAGUGGCGAUUUGUCCUCAAUAAAACAAUAACUUGAAAAUUAAGAAAUCAAACAAAGCAACGUAAUCAAAAUAGCCACUGUGGCACCAGGGGGGACGAAUCUUACGCAGUGCAGGGGAAAGAGUCAACUGUCCAGUCGUGAAUUUAGAUUUCUGCAGGUUUAUUUUCCGAUCUUCCAAGCAAACAAAACAAAUGUGCAACAGUGUGAACCAGCAGCCUCACUCCUUUGUCUCUCUCGUACAGCUGGUAAAAAACCAUGACCUUC